rnacentral:rRNA from 1 species
GACGAACGCUGGCGGCGUGCUUAACACAUGCAAGUCGAACGGAAAGGCCCUGCUUUUGUGGGGUGCUCGAGUGGCGAACGGGUGAGUAACACGUGAGUAACCUGCCCUUGACUUUGGGAUAACUUCAGGAAACUGGGGCUAAUACCGGAUAGGAGCUCCUGCUGCAUGGUGGGGGUUGGAAAGUUUCGGCGGUUGGGGAUGGACUCGCGGCUUAUCAGCUUGUUGGUGGGGUAGUGGCUUACCAAGGCUUUGACGGGUAGCCGGCCUGAGAGGGUGACCGGCCACAUUGGGACUGAGAUACGGCCCAGACUCCUACGGGAGGCAGCAGUGGGGAAUAUUGCACAAUGGGCGGAAGCCUGAUGCAGCAACGCCGCGUGCGGGAUGACGGCCUUCGGGUUGUAAACCGCUUUCGCCUGUGACGAAGCGUGAGUGACGGCAAUGGGUAAAGAGGCACCGGCUAACUACGUG